AGAGUUUGAUCAUGGCUCAGAGCGAACGCUGGCGGCGUGCCUAACACAUGCAAGUCGAACGCCCUGUUUCGGCAGGGAGUGGCGGACGGGUGAGGAACACGUGGGUACCUACCCUUCAGUGAGGAAUACCGGCGAGAAAUCGCCGACAAUACCGCAUACGCUUGGAAACAAGCAAAGCUCGCAAGAGCGCUGAAGGAUGG
rnacentral:rRNA from 1 species